UACAGCCUUGACUCUGAGAGAAGGCCACCCUGUGCUUGCACUGUUUUUAUAAGCUCAAGGAGACAACACAGACCUUCUUGGAAAAAUAAAAACAAGCAGCCUGGAGGGCUCUCAACUUCCGAAAAGAGCUGAGAAGUGGCGGGAGAAGGGUGAGUCUCGCUGGAAAGCGACUCCCUUCAGCCAUUCCACGCCCCCCACCCGAACUCCAAUCCACACUUCUCACCAACAUUCAGUUUCAGCAGGAGUAAGUGGCUAGCCCGCCAGAAGAACCGACAACUUGCUGAACUGGACUUUGGUGAUGUCUCCCUGCCAACGCCACCGCCCCCCCCCCCCCCCCCCCCCGCCUGCGCCCUCCUCCUAGUCUGUUCGGCCAAGAUAGCGGCUCUUCCCGCCCUCCUCACUAUUCUUCCCAGUAACAAUCCCCCUCACCUCUGUUCUCCUCCCUCCCCAGUCCUCCGAACUGGGGCAGAACCGCAGGUACCACCCAGACAAGACCAGAUCCGAGCAGCCCGACAGCGCAGACUGCCAGCGAGCGCGGAGAGAGUCCUCGCCUCGCGCAUCCGCAGCGGGAGAACAUCCCCUACCCCCACCCGCACCGCGACCGCUCGGGCCCCCAGCGGCGCUCGGGCCCCCAUCCCUGCGCCACCCCACCUCCCGAGGCUCCUGCGCCGCCUUACCCAACUCAACCUGACCUAGCCCUGGCUCCUCGGAGCUCGGGAGAGGGGCGCCGCGCGGGUUUCCCGGGACCAUCUCUCCACCGCUCCAACCCCGAUUUCAACAUUUCGGCUUCGACAGCGUUUUGCGAGCAAAGUCACAGAGCGCCCUCCUCCUCCCUCCCCCCUCCUCUCUACUCCCCAGCCCUCUGCUGGGGUUAAAAAGGAGAAGUGAAAGGUAUGCAAAUGACAAGCAAAUUGGAAGAGCCUGGAAGAAAGGCAGCUAUAAUAAACAAGACAAAGAGAAAGGACGAGGGGACCAGCACCGGAGUUUUAGCCGGGGGAGACGGGGAGGAUGAAGCUUGGCGGAAAGCGGGGAUCCAGGCGAACAAAAAGCGACCCGGUCCCCCUCGCGGUCCUCUCUCCCGAGGAGGCAGGGCAGGAGAAAGAAGGAAAGGGAGCAGACGCCUCCUCACAGCGCAGAAACAGUACACAAAAGGUGACAAGAUCAGCGACAAGUCCAGCCGUAUCAGCCACCCCCACCCCCCCCAUCGCCACCACCACCCCAGCCACCAGCAGGAAAGAGAAAGAAAUAAAAGCCAAGCGGAUCACUUACUCUUAGGAACUGGGAGGAGCGGAGCGCUGAGUUCCACGGAGGCUCCUGCUUAGAAACUGUUUAGAGCCUAUUUUAUGACGAUUCAUUUAAAUAACACCAUUUUCUCCUGGAAAAAAAAAAAAAAUGUUUACACGGG